UGUUAAGAGCAGAACUUACUUUUAUAGAAUUUCAAAGUUAGAAGGAAACAUUAUUUUUUCCAAAUGUCUAACUUUAUAGAUGAGUAAACCGGAGCUCACCCUGGUUAGAUCAUUGAGCUAGUUAAUGGCAGACGUGGUUUCCAAACUCCUUGUCUAGUCCUUAUUGAAACAUUUUCCUUCUAUGAUAAUGUUCUCCACUUUGGGUACUCUGGUUGCUGGCUUUGGGUAAGACAGAGACUAAAUAACUCUUCUUUCCUCUCCCUUCUUUUAGUGCUGUCUGGCAUCUUUCAUCUCAAACCUGUCAUAGAAGAAAAAAAACUAAAGGAAGGAACUACACUGGGCAUGAAAAGACAUGGAUUCUUAUCCUUUUCUUUUUAAAUCACUAACCAACUUCUGAGACUUUGGAUAUGUUACUUCAAAAAAUAAUAAUUACUAUCUAUUGAGCACCUACUGUUUACCAGGCAUUGUGUUAGGCACUUUACAUACAAGCCCCUAUAUAUAAGUGUCUGCUUGUCUAAAAUAAGAGAGUGUGCUACAUGUCGUCCAGUGUCCCACCCAGUUCCAGGAGUGGGUGACCGUAAGGAGCUAUCUUUCUUAGAACAUUCUUACAGUUCCUGAGGCUUCUUUAUUCUCCUCUUUCCUGUUUCCUAGCUGGCAGUGGUAAGGUUGCUGUAGAAUAAAGCUCUAUGUCAACUCCACUGUAGUGAGUCCUGGGCUGUGUCGUCCUCCUCUUUACUCUCCCAAAGGGCUUCCCACUUUUCCAUAGGAAUGGGCUUGACUCUUACUAGCCCCUGUUAGGGUUUCCAUGAUUGUAUGACUUCCUCUCUCCUUAGACUCUCCCUGUGGAUCUUUGAUUCACUCUGAUGCCUUCUUUUUCUACCUGUGGGCUCAGAGAAGUCAAAUAAUUUGGAAAAGGUCACCCAGAUUAUAUAUAAGUAGCAGAACCGGCAACUGUCUGACUCCAUUGCCUUUGUUAUUUCUGCUAUAAUAUGAUUCCUGUCUCUGAAAUUUCACUUGGGUCUAUUUUUCCCACCCUGACUUAAGAUCGAGCUGAAGCCUGCCUUUUCCAUCAUCACCUUAGCCUGGCCACAUUUUCUUCCCUCACAAUUUCCCCACUAGAUAUUGUCUGCACUACACAUCAGGCCCCACUUGGGGACUUAGAUCUUAGGAGACCCUAUAGUUUAAGUGGUUAUAAAUGUGGGGUCUGGAGUCAGAGGGCCAAAGUAUGAAUUCUGGCUCUACUACAAGUCUAUGCAACCUUGGGAAAAUUCCUUAACCUCUCUGGGCCUCCAUUUCCUCAACUACAAACUAGAGAUACUGGAACCACUUACCUCCUAGAGUUGCUGUGCAGAAGUAGCACAAUGUCUGAUACACGAAAGAAGGACUCAGUGAACUGAUUCUAUUACCAGAUCUUGGGCUGAGUUCUGACUGGUCCAAGCUAAGCAACAGUCUUGCCAGAAUGAUUGACAGUAAUCUCUUGGAGUCUUUCUCCACCAGUACAUACAGAUCUAUUUCAUUCAUAUGUGCCUGUUAUUUGUCUGGACUUUUAGUUAGACCACUUGGUUGGACGCCUAGCAGCAGAGAUGGAAAGGAAAGAUGCUCUGGACAAAGGAGACAGGCAAGUGCAUGCUCUGCAGGGGGGCUAAGGAUGGGCUGGCAUGGCAGGAACCAUCAGCCACCUCGGGGAAGCACGGGAAUGGAGAGACCUCAGC